AACACGAGGAAACUUGUGCUAAUACCGGAUAAGUCUUUACGGAGAAAGCUUUAUGCACCAUUGGAUGAGCCUGCACUUGAUUAGUUUGUUGGUGGGGUAAUGGCCUACCAAGACUUUGAUCAAUAGCUGAUUUGAGAGGAUGAUCAGCCACAUUGGGACUGAGACACGGCCCAAACUCCUACGGGAGGCAGCAGUGGGGAAUCUUGCACAAUGGAGGAAACUCUGAUGCAGCGAUGCCGCGUGAGUGAAGAAGGCCUUUGGGUUGUAAAGCUCUUUCGUCGGGGAAGAAAAUGACUGUACCCGAAUAAGAAGGUCCGGCUAACUUCGUGCCAGCAGCCGCGGUAAUACGAAGGGACCUAGCGUAGUUCGGAAUUACUGGGCUUAAAGAGUUCGUAGGUGGUUGAAAAAGUUGGUGGUGAAAUCCCAGAGCUUAACUCUGGAACUGCCAUCAAAACUUUUCAGCUAGAGUUUGAUAGAGGAAAGCAGAAUUUCUAGUGUAGAGGUGAAAUUCGUAGAUAUUAGAAAGAAUACCAAUUGCGAAGGCAGCUUUCUGGAUCAUUACUGACACUGAGGAACGAAAGCAUGGGUAGCGAAGAGGAUUAGAUACCCUCGUAGUCCAUGCCGUAAACGAUGUGUGUUAGACGUUGGAAAUUUAUUUUCAGUGUCGCAGUGAAAGCGAUAAACACACCGCCUGGGGAGUACGACCGCAAGGUUAAAACUCAAAUGAAUUGACGGGGACCCGCACAAGUA
rnacentral:rRNA from 1 species